rnacentral:rRNA from 1 species
AGUGAACGCUGGCGGUAGGCCUAACACAUGCAAGUCGAACGGCAGCACAGUAAGAGCUUGCUCUUACGGGUGGCGAGUGGCGGACGGGUGAGGAAUACAUCGGAAUCUACUUUUUCGUGGGGGAUAACGUAGGGAAACUUACGCUAAUACCGCAUACGACCUACGGGUGAAAGCAGGGGAUCUUCGGACCUUGCGCGAUUGAAUGAGCCGAUGUCGGAUUAGCUAGUUGGCGGGGUAAAGGCCCACCAAGGCGACGAUCCGUAGCUGGUCUGAGAGGAUGAUCGGCCACACUGGAACUGAGACACGGUCCAGACUCCUACGGGAGGCAGCAGUGGGGAAUAUUGGACAAUGGGCGCAAGCCUGAUCCAGCCAUACCGCGUGGGUGAAGAAGGCCUUCGGGUUGUAAAGCCCUUUUGUUGGGAAAGAAAAGCAGCAGGUUAAUACCCCGCUGUUCUGACGGUACCCAAAGAAUAAGCAACGGCUAACUUCGUG